rnacentral:pre_miRNA from 1 species
UUUGGUUAUCUAGCUAUAUGAAUGGAAAUGACCUCAUAAAGCUAGGUUACCGAAGC